rnacentral:rRNA from 1 species
UACGUAGGGUGCUAGCGUUGUCCGGAUUUAUUGGGCGUAAAGGGCUCGUAGGCGGCGUGUCGCGUCGGCCGUGAAAACCUGGGGCUCAACUCUGGGCGUGCGGUCGAUACGGGCAUCACUUGAGUUCGGCAGGGGAGACUGGAAUUCCUGGUGUAGCGGUGAAAUGCGCAGAUAUCAGGAGGAACACCGGUGGCGAAGGCGGGUCUCUGGGCCGAUACUGACGCUGAGGAGCGAAAGCAUGGGUAGCGAACAGG